AUGUUUGCUGCUGUUGUUUCUGUUUUAAGAAGUAUAGCAAGUGAUCGUUUGGUCUCACAAUUUUCUAGAGGAGAUGUUGUUGGUGCUCUUAGGAUUCUCAUCUCAUUUGAUUUUGUGUUUAUUCUGCACCUAAUGGAAAAAAUCAUGAAGAUCACUGAUGUGUUGUGUGUAAGACUGCAAACUAAAUCUUUGGAUAUUUUGAAUGCUUUGGAUUGUGUGUCCAACACAAAGGUGCUGCUUGCUGACUUAAGAGAAAAUGGUUGGGAAUCUCUUCUUGAAGAGGUUAAUUCUUUUUGCCUGAAGCACGAGAUUGAUAUUCCGGAUUUUAAUCGCAAGUACGUUGAUGUGACCAAAUCCAGAAACAAGCAUGACAACACCACAACACUCCAUCACUACAAAAUGGAUGUAUUUAAUGUUGCCAUAGACCAACAAUUGACAGAGUUAGGUGAUCGUUUCAGUCUUCAAGCGACAGAGCUUUUAAGCCUUUGUGCAUCAUCGGAUCCAAGAAGUGACACAUUUGACAGAUCAAGAAUAUGCACGCUAGUUGAAAAAUUAUAUCCUGCAGAUUUUUCUUCUCAAGAAAGAGCUCAGUUGGAGUGUCAGCUACCACAUUUUCAACUUGACACAUGCAACCAUCAAGGGUUAUUACGAUUAGUAAUAACUCUCCCGGUGUCGACUGCAACAGCAGAGAGAGCAUUUUCAGCUAUGAAACUUGUCAAGACUCGUCUUCGAAGUACAAUGGGUGAUGAUUUUCUUCGACAUUGUAUGAUAAUCUACAUCAGGAAGGAUAUAGCGUCAAAGUUUAGUUCUGAUGAAAUUAUAGACAUAUUUGAUCUUCUUGGUUGUCGCAAAGGCAACUUCAACAAUAGAGAUGUAACUUCUUUGCAUUGUUUGAUUGACCGUAUGGUCUGUACCGAACCAUGA
rnacentral:rRNA from 1 species